GUUCACGGGCGCUCCAGCUCCUCGCCAGCGCGAAGAGCGGGCACAACCUACCUUCAUGUCCGCGUUAAUCUCCCGUUUCACGGGGGGAAAACCCGUGGCGCGACGCGGGGCCGUUUCAGAGUUGCGGAACGGCGAACGGCAGGCGUGCGGAGAGCCCCGGUGAAGUUGAUGCUGGUGCUGCUGCUGCUGCGGGCACCCGAUGCCCGGUAGAGUCAGCCAUCUUCUGCCUGCUAUUUCUCCGCGGUCUGAGUUGCAGGCUGCCUGUCCUUGAGCAGAUCUUGCUGUUCCAUCCCAGAUCACUAGCAGAUGCCGCGGAGCCUUGAAUGAGUGCAUUGUUUAACAGCACAGCGCCCCGCCAGCCCAGCUGAACAUUAUCCCAUGCUGCUUGCAGAUUUCUGAUGGACUUGACUUGGUUUAAUCAAGCUGGGCAUCAGAUUCACUCAUUGCAGUCAAGCCUGGACAGCUG